rnacentral:rRNA from 1 species
UUCGCAAUGCCCGAAAGGGUGACGAAGCGACGCCGCGUGUGGGAAGAAGGCCUUCGGGUUGUAAACCACUGUCGGGAGUUAAGAAAUGCAAGAAUGUUAAUAGCGUUUUUGCUUGACUAAGGCUCCGGAGGAAGCCACGGCUAACUCUGUGCCAGCAGCCGCGGUAAUACAGAGGCGGCAAGCGUUGUUCGGAAUUAUUGGGCGUAAAGAGCACGUAGGCGGCUAUAUAAGUCGGUUGUGAAAGCCUUCCGCUCAACGGGAGAACAGCAUCCGAUACUGUAUGGCUUGAGUGUGGGAGGGGAGAGCGGAACUUCUGGUGGAGCGGCGAAAUGCGUAGAUAUCAGAAGGAACGCCGGCGGCGAAAGCGGCUCUCUGGCCCAUAACUGACGCUGAGUGUGCGAAAGCUAGGGGAGCAAACGGGAUUAGAUACCCCGGUAGUCCUAGCCGUAAACGAUGGGCACUAAGUAGAGGGGUUUU